rnacentral:rRNA from 1 species
UACGAAGGGGGCUAGCGUUGCUCGGAAUCACUGGGCGUAAAGCGCACGUAGGCGGACUCUUAAGUCGGUGGUGAAAUCCUGGAGCUCAACUCCAGAACUGCCUCCGAUACUGGGAGCCUUCGAGUCCGGGAGAGGUGAGUGGAACUCCGAGUGUAGAGGUGAAAUUCGUAGAUAUUCGCAAGAACACCAGUGGCGAAGGCGGCUCACUGGCCCGGUACUGACGCUGAGGCACGAAAGCGUGGGGAGCAAACAGG